AUGGAUGAUGUGGACGAUGUCCUAAAGACUGUCAACUUCUUUAGGGAGAUGAAAGCUAUAAACAGGGAAUUCUUCUGUGACAUGCAACUCGAUGAGUCCGACAGAGUUAAGAACAUAUUCUGGGCGAAUGCAAGCUGCCGAGGGGCCUAUCAGGACUUCAGUGACUGUGUAACAUUUGACACCACAUAUAAGACCAACAAGUACCAUAUGCCACUUGGGGUGUUUGUCGGUACUAACAACCACUUACAGACUACAUUCUUUUGUUUCGCCCUGAUAAGAGAUGAGGAUGCAGAUUCAUUCAGAUGGUUGUUCAAGACAUUUUUAAGGUGCAUGAGAGGGAAGGCUCCUACAUGCAUCCUCACAGACCAGUGCCCGGCAAUGGCUUUGGCGAUCCCAGAUGCUUUCGGGAACACAGUACACAAGCUGUGCCGCUGGCACAUUAUGAAGAAGUACAGGGAACACCUCGCAUACCUGUACUACCUGCACGAAGACUUUAAGGAUGAAUUCACAUCAAUCCUCAACUGGCCCCUCAUGCCAACUGAGUUUGAGGAUGCCUGGAAAGGACUCAUGGAUAGGUACAACCUCCAUGAUGAUGCAACGAUGGUGGCCAUGUGGAACGAGCGUGAGAAAUGGAUAUCAGCCUACUUCAAAUAA
rnacentral:rRNA from 1 species